rnacentral:lncRNA from 1 species
ACUAGACCAGUGGGAGAGCUACAGGUUGAACCUCUAACUACACUAGACCAGUGGGAGAGCUACAGGUUGUAUCUCUAACCACACUAGACCAGUGGGAGAGCUACAGGUUGUAGUGCGGAGGUCUCUCUGUCGUGUCAUUUAUAUUUUAAACAAAAUAACUACUGUAGAUGGAUUCAAAACAGUUCUAUAUUUUAUUGAGAGAAAUAAACCAACACACACACAAACACACACACACACACACACUCACACACUCCUACCUGCAGGGCUUUGACGUUGGACGAUGGUUUAGACAUGCUGCUCGUUCAGUCAGUCAACUAUCCUGCAGGAAAUACAAAGCAUUGAGGGUUAGGGUUAGAGUCAGACAGGUGAGAGAGACUGGCUCAGAUCAAACUGAUGAGAUUAGACCAGACAAGACUGGGGAGAGACUGUGUGUGUGUGUGUGUGUGUGUGUGUGUGUGUGUGUGUGUGUGUGUGUGUGUGUGUG